rnacentral:rRNA from 1 species
CCCGCUGAACUUAAGCAUAUCAAUAAGCGGAGGAAAAGAAACUAACAAGGAUUCCCCUAGUAACUGCGAGUGAAGCGGGAAAAGCUCAAAUUUAAAAUCUGUCAGUCUUUGGCUGUCCGAGUUGUAAUCUAGAGAAGUGUUAUCCGCGCUGGACCGUGUACAAGUCUCCUGGAAUGGAGCGUCAUAGAGGGUGAGAAUCCCGUCUUUGACACGGACUGCCAGGGCUUUUGUGAUGCGCUCUCAACGAGUCGAGUUGUUUGGGAAUGCAGCUCAAAAUGGGUGGUAAAUUCCAUCUAAAGCUAAAUAUUGGCGAGAGACCGAUAGCGAACAAGUACCGUGAGGGAAAGAUGAAAAGAACUUUGGAAAGAGAGUUAAACAGUACGUGAAAUUGCUGAAAGGGAAACGCUUGAAGUCAGUCGCGUCAUCCAGGGAUCAACCUUGCUUUUGCUUGGUGUACUUUCUGGUUGACGGGUCAGCAUCAAUUUUGACCGUUGGAGAAAGGCUUUGGGAAUGUGGCACCCUCGGGUGUGUUAUAGCCCUUUGUCGUAUACAACGGUUGGGAUUGAGGACCGCAGCACGCCUUCAUGGCCGGGGUUCGCCCACGUACGUGCUUAGGAUGUUGGCAUAAUGGCUUUAAGCGACCCGUCUUGAAACACGG